rnacentral:rRNA from 1 species
CCUACGGGUGGCAGCAGUGGGGAAUAUUGGGCAAUGUGCGCAAGCCUGACCCAGCAACGCCGCGUGAAGGAAGAAGGCUUUCGGGUUGUAAACUUCUUUUCUGAGGGACGAAGAAAGUGACGGUACCUCAGGAAUAAGCCACGGCUAACUACGUGCCAGCAGCCGCGGUAAUACGGAGGUGGCAAGCGUUAUCCGGAUUGAUUGGGUGUAAAGGGCGUGUAGGCGGGAAAGCAAGUCAGAUGUGAAAACUGAGGGAUCAACCCUGGGCCGGCAUUUGAAACUGUUUUUCUUGAGUGAUGGAGGGGCAAACGGAAUUCCGGGUGUAGCUGUGAAAUGCGUAGAU